CUUUCAGUUUCCACUUUUAUUAUUACUCUUUCAAUUUUCCAUUUUUAUGUUUUUUUUUUUUUUAAUUUCAAACCAGAAUUUUUCUCCGACGUUACCACCGUGCCGGAAUUCUUCUCCACCGUCGUCCUCUUCUCCUUCAAAGGUUACUCUCCUGUUCCGUUAUUUUUGUUCAAUUCAUGCUUCAAAACUGAAAAUCCCUAAUUUUUCUUUAAAACCCUAAAUUUUUGAAUUCAUCUGUUAAAUCUGAAAAUACACCGUUUUGGAAUAGAUUGUGUUGUUUAAAAUUUUCACCUUACUCAGUUCAUGUUGCGAAAUCAAUUGAGACUGUUUUACUUGAAAACUCUAAUCUCUCUUUUCUUCUAUAAUCCGAUAAAAUAUCACUUUUGUCUUGAAAUGGAUUGAUUUUCCCCUUGCUUUUCAUUUUUAUUUGGUCUUAAUUUUGAGUUUUGAUAUUGAUCGAGUACAAAUUCCAAUCUCCAAUUUUUGAAAACUCUAAUUUUGUGUGUAAGUGCUUCAUAGUCUCGUGCCAGCUUCUUCGCCUGUUUGGAUUUAGGAUAAGAGUGGAGUCAGUCUUGCAGUUGUAUUUGUUAAGCGAAAAUCGUAAAUUUAAGUUUGGGGAAGUAAUGUAUUAGGUGUUAAAUUGGGAGAAAUUGUGAAGGGUCUUUGUUAAUAGGCUCUAUGUAUAGCCUGAAAUCCGACUUGUCUAAGAAGGCAUGGAGACAGUGGUCUUGGUCAUUGCAUUUUCAGGAAAUUGCUAAGUUAGAUCUUAAACAAGUAAAGUGUGAUAUCAUUCAUGAUAAAUGAUAUAAGACCAAGAUGUUGCACCAAAAAGGUUCCAGUCUCAACUUGAUUUUGCUCAACAAUUGGUUUUAAAGGUGACACUACAAAAGAUCGAAUUCGAAUAUUGUGGAAUGAUUUUUUUUGGGUUCUAACAUAUGUUGUGGAGCUGUAUAUAGUUAAACAAGAGCUAUGUGGAUAUCAACUCAUCAGUUGUGGUUGUCAUUAGUACAUCUUAUUGUAAAAUUAAGCAAUCAUGGAUUGUUCCCAUUGUAAAUUGUUUAGAACAUGUUGUUAGUUAUAAAAGUUACUAGUAUAUACAAUAUCCACCCAUUAAAUUCACAUUUUGUACUCAUUUUUGGUCCCAAAGAUAAAGUUAAGUGUAUGGAAGAGGCAAUUAAAUCUU